rnacentral:tRNA from 1 species
GGCUCGGUAGCUUAGUUGGUAAAGCGCUCGUUUAGCAUACAAGAGUCCUGGGUUCAAAUCCCAGCCGAGCAC